UAUAAAAAAAAUUCACUUUAUUCUGCUGGGUUUCUCCCAACCUUCACAGUCCUUCUCUGCGUUUGUAUCUUCCUCUCUUCUCUUUAAUCUCGUCUCUUCUCCUCCAUAAAGAAGACAAAGAAGCUUCCUCCAUGGCGCCUGCCAAGGUCACCGUAGCUUUUGCACACGCCUCACCCAGCCAACGAGAACGUCGUCACGUCAGAGAGCGUCGCCGUCUUCCUCGUUCUUCAUCAUCGUCGUCAGCCUCUCCCUUCCGGGAGUUUCACCAAAUUCCAAAUCACAAGUGAAAGCUAUGUGCAAUCAGAUUUGUAAUGCUCAACAGGCACCAAGUUUGCAACCUUUGUCUUUUGAACAUGUUCAUUCAAAAGAAGCUAACAUAUUGGCUAUUUUAGAGUUGACUCGUGCUCUUGACAAGAAGGUACUGCCUGCAGCAAUCUCUGUUUCCCAUUUUUGGUGUAACCAAAAUAAGAAGAAACUAUAUGCCUUUGUCAUGGCCUUCUUUUAAGGAGUGCAAUUUGCAGAUUGUGAAUGUCACAACUCCUGCUAACUUCUUUCAUGUUUUGCAGAGAGAGGAGGAUGUUGCAAUAUGCUAAGGUUUGGUGAAUUACAGGUGUCCUUCGGAAUUGAGCUUCUGUGUGGAAUCAAUGCUGCCUUACCAUACGGCUACUGCAUCAGCACUAAUGACUUCCAUGCUUGCUGUCUCUCGCCGCAGUUAUGGUUAGCUCUCGGAAG